AACGGUCUAUACCUGCGGUACCUGCGGAAGGAUCAUUAAUGAGAAACUGCCCCUCGCGGGUAGAUCUCCCGCCCUUUGUAAACUUACCUUUGUUGCUUUGGCAGGCCCGUCUCCGGACCGCCGGCUUCGGCUGGCCAGUGCCUGCCAGAGGAUUCUAAAACUCUGUCUGUCAGUGUUGUCUGAGUCUAUAUACAAUCGUUAAAACUUUUAGCAAUGGAUCUCUAGAUCGGAAGAGCACAC
rnacentral:misc_RNA from 1 species